UACGUAGGGAGCAAGCGUUGUUCGGAAUUACUGGGCGUAAAGGGCGCGUAGGCGGCCACCGCAAGUCGACUGUGAAAUCUCCGGGCUUAACCCGGAAAGGUCAGCCGAUACUGCGGGGCUAGAGUGCAGAAGGGGCAACUGGAAUUCUCGGUGUAGCGGUGAAAUGCGUAGAUAUCGAGAGGAACACCUGCGGCGAAGGCGGGUUGCUGGGCUGACACUGACGCUGAUGUGCGAAAGCUAGGGGAGCGAACGGG
rnacentral:rRNA from 1 species